rnacentral:rRNA from 1 species
UACGUAGGGACCAAGCGUUGUUCGGAUUUACUGGGCGUAAAGGGCGCGUAGGCGGCAAUUCAAGUCAGUUGUGAAAUCUCCGAGCUUAACUCGGAACGGUCAACUGAUACUGUUUUGCUAGAGUACAGAAGGGGCAAUCGGAAUUCUUGGUGUAGCGGUGAAAUGCGUAGAUAUCAGGAGGAACACCGGUGGCGAAGGCGGGUCUCUGGGCCGAUAUUGACGCUGAGGAGCGAAAGCGUGGGGAGCGAACAGG